AUUGAACGCUGGCGGAAUGCUUUACACAUGCAAGUCGAACGGCAGCACGGGGGCAACCCUGGUGGCGAGUGGCGAACGGGUGAGUAAUACAUCGGAACGUGCCCAGUCGUGGGGGAUAACGUAGCGAAAGUUACGCUAAUACCGCAUACGAUCUACGGAUGAAAGCGGGGGACCGUAAGGCCUCGCGCGAUUGGAGCGGCCGAUGUCAGAUUAGGUAGUUGGUGAGGUUAAGGCUCACCAAGCCGACGAUCUGUAGCUGGUCUGAGAGGACGACCAGCCACACUGGGACGGGGACACGGCCCAGACUCCUACGGGAGGCAGCAGUGGGGAAUUUUGGACAAUGGGCGCAAGCCUGAUCCAGCCAUUCCGCGUGCAGGACGAAGGCCUUCGGGUUGUAAACUGCUUUUGUACGGAACGAAAAGGCUCUGGUUAAUACCUGGGGCUCAUGACGGUACCGUAAGAAUAAGCACCGGCUAACUACGUGCCAGCAGCCGCCGUAA
rnacentral:rRNA from 1 species